UCUAGCUUUAUGCCACAACAACAACGAGAACAGCGUAUUGUUGAAUUUGUCUUUCGGCAGAAUGAUCAAAAAGAAGAUCGAUUUCUAUUCCCAUUUGCCAAAACCGAAAGGUCAAAAAUAUUGGAACUUCUUCGAGAACAAGGGCAAGUUUUACGGGUAUCAAAAAAGAUUCAACCUUUAGGUUGAAAAUGAGGACUUGCCAAAAAUAGUCUAAGAAGACUUGCAGUCUGAGAAGACAUUUGUAUAUAUGUUGCUGAUUUUUAUUGUUAUUAUAUUUAUU